rnacentral:rRNA from 1 species
GAUGAACGCUGGCGGCGUGCCUAAUACAUGCAAGUAGAACGCUGAAGGAAGGAGCUUGCUCUUUCCGGAUGAGUUGCGAACGGGUGAGUAACGCGUAGGUAACCUGCCUGGUAGCGGGGGAUAACUAUUGGAAACGAUAGCUAAUACCGCAUAACAGUAGAUGUUGCAUGAUAUCUACUUAAAAGGUGCAAUUGCACCACUACCAGAUGGACUUGCGUUGUAUUAGCUAGUUGGUGAGGUAACGGCUCACCAAGGCGACGAUACAUAGCCGACCUGAGAGGGUGAUCGGCCACACUGGGACUGAGACACGGCCCAGACUCCUACGGGAGGCAGCAGUAGGGAAUCUUCGGCAAAGGACGGAAGUCUGACCGGGCAACGCCGCGUGAGGGAAGAAGGGUUUCGGAUCGUAAAGCUCUGUUGUAAGAGAAGAACGAGUGUGGGAGUGGAAAGUUCACACUGUGACGGUAUCUUACCAGAAAGGGACGGCUAACUACGUG